GUUUUAAGGGCUGCUUGCUCUGUUAUUUUUUUCUUUUUUUAUUAUUAUUUCUUACAUGCAUGACAAUAGUGGAGUGCAUUUCAUUCAUAAUCAUCUAUUCACAGCACAAUUUUUUCGUAACUGUAUAUAAAGUACGUUCAUGCCAAAUUAUACCAUUAUAUAUGAGCUCUCUCUCUCUCUCUCUUUUUUUUUUUUGCAUUAUAAUUCUUAAUACACCUUUAGGUAUCCACCUCACAGUCCAUGACUAAUACACUGGAAGAUGUAAUACAUAAAAAUACAUAAUUUAUUUUCCUCUUUUUCUCAGCAAAACAUGCCUAUUGUGUUGUUUUUGGUGCCUAGGAGACAGUUUUGCAUUCUUAUGUUAUUAAUUCAUUGGCGCAAGGGAGUUACUUCCUCUUCCACAUUAGUACAUUAGUAAUUUAAGUAGUAAGUACCAGUAUAGCAUUUGGGGGAAGUAGAGAAAAUCACAAUUUGUUGCUUAUAAAACUGACUUUAGGAAUAAUCUGUAGUAGAUUCUGAGAGCACUGGGCAAGGUGACCUGCUUUGGCAAUAAGAAGAUGAACCAAUAAUGUAAAAAGGAAAAAAAAAUACUAGGAGAGAGAGUAGCUACCUUUGUUUUAUAGUCACAAACUCCUAGUGGGGUUUAGGUACUAUCAUGACUUAAUUUGUUCACUAGAAAUUAUUAACAGUGCUCAUCUCCCGCUACUUUUACCAUAAAUCUAGGAAUCAUAGGCAGUAAGGAUUCUAUAUUUGCUAUGGAAAUGUUUCCUUUUACCCAACCUGGUAUUAUUUUACUAUGAUAACUCAAAGGAACUAUUUCACACAUUAAAAAAAAAAAAAGAAUAAGUAUAAGUAGAUCUACUUUACAUUAUCCUGAAAAAUUAGCAAUGUGCCUGGAAUAGUGAGCUUCUACUUAAUAGCUUUCAGUUAUUUAUAACAUAGAAAUCAUGUCUUCUAGAUUUUAUUAAUAUUAUUAACUUUCUGUUUCCUAAGAGCAAAUUUCAUAUAUGGUAUCCACAUCAAUUUUUUUUGGAUCUGUAUUCCUAUCUAAAUAAGAUUAACUGUGAGUAGCAGUAUAAAUACAAACACCUAUAACCCUCCUUGCCCAGUGAUCCACAAAAUUACCAAUGAAAACAUCAAAUAGGAAAACAAUUCAUAUCAAUCAAAGAAAUUUAGGUAAGAGUAGUGAAAACUAGAAGGAAUUUCUAUUAAGUAAAAUAGUAAGGAAUAGGGUCGGGGUUGUGGCUUAGCGGCAGAGCGCUCACCUAGCAAGUGUGAGGCCCUGGGUUCAAUCCUCAGCACCACAUAAAAAUAAAUAAAUAAAGAUGGUGUGACCAAUUAAAAUAAAUUUAAAAAAAUAGUAAGGAAUGG
rnacentral:lncRNA from 1 species